ensembl:snRNA U1 U1 spliceosomal RNA
AUACUUACCUGGUAGAGGAGAUACCAUAAUCACGAAGGUGGUUUUCCCAGGGCGAGGCUUAUUCAUUGUACUCUUGACGUGCUGACCCCUGUGACUUCCCCAAAUGUGGGAAGCUCGACUGCAUAACUUGGGGUAGUGGGGGACUGUGCUCGUCCUGUCUUCUG